ensembl:lncRNA novel transcript, sense intronic to EFNB2
GGAAGUGUGAGGCUCCAGGCUGGAGGCAGACCUGUGUUCGGCUGCAAGCUGGAGAGGAUGGACCCCAAAAGCUUGGCUGAUUUGAAGUCCAUCCAUAAAAUGGAACUCCAGAGAGUUUACACGUUUCAGUAAUGCUGCAUAACUUAAUUAUAAGAUCUUCUCUCUUUGUCUUCUUUCAGUGUUAUAAAAGCUCUUUUGUCCUUGAGCUUCCUUUACCAAGAAACAUGCAUUUAUGUAUCUUUUUGUUCAUGGAAUUGCCCAAGCUUGUUAGCAGAUCCUUUGUAAGACCCAAAAGAGACAGACAGGGGAGGAGUCUUCAGAUACAUAUAAUCAUUUUUCCCAAUUUCCAUGUUACCAGCCUUGCCAGGACUUUUUCUCAGUUCCCUGUUACACAAUGAAAAUAGUGUCUCUUUAUUGAUAAUUUUAGUAGCAUCCUAAUGUGGUAUAAAUCGUCUUCCAGAGAAGAAAAUGUGUCAGGGUUGCGUUAUCACUGAGGCUAGCUGGGAAAGUAGAUCAGCCCAUUAGUCUGAUAAUUCGAAGCGUUGUUUCUGUUAUUUCUGAACAUCAUGUGAACUCCUUUUCUGGGUGUAUUAAAGGUUUUCCCAGUGUGUGUCAGUGAGACUCCUGAUUGAAUUUAAUAUGAAUAAAGAUAAAUUCUUUACAUUUAA